AAAGCAUCUUACAAUCCUGUUGCAGCACGGGAGGCUGCAUUUGGCUCUCUUGCCUGCGGCCACACGGAUGAAGGAGACGGGGCCCAGGGUGACAAAUCACAGCUGACGAAACUGAGCUUCGCAGAGGUCAGGGUCCUGGUGCGGAGCGCCAGCCCUGGCGUCCAGGAUUCUGGUUCAGCAUCUUCCGUGGGGAGCUCUAUGCCUCCGACAAG